rnacentral:sRNA from 1 species
UACAUGACGUCUCUGCCGGUACAUGGGC